AAAGAUUUCCCCUGAGGCUCAUGGGAGCUGCCUGUAUCCUGAGGCUGGAGGAGGGGGUCUGCAGAUACAUUCUGGCAGUUUCUGUUCUGAAUUUUGAUGAUUGUCUAUUGAAAAAUUGCAUGGGCCAUCCUGUGUCAAGACAAUCAUUGCUGUCUCCUCCUUUUAGUCAGCAAUUUUUCUUCAAGCUUGCUACUUAGGCUAUUCCUUUUUCUUCUCCAUCCCUAACCCCUUGCUUCAGCUUAAAUAUUUGCAAUAACUCAUGUUUCCCUCUCCCUCAUUCCUUUUGUAGGAAGGAACAAACACUGUAUCAACACUGUGCAGAUGUGUUUUAACCCAGCAGAAUAUUUCAGUGAGUUUUAUGGCCUCAUUUUCCACUAAAGUUGUGCCCGGACAGUGCAAAGCAGAACUGUGGGAGAAGGACUUGAGACCAGCUCUGAGCAAGCAGGAGUAUCUCCACUGCUCAGCACUGCAACAUGUUGUCAAAAUUAUUGACAGCAUUUUGGGGAUGCCAGAAUAUUGGCACAGUGUGGAUGGGGCUAUUUCAGGGAUCUUUCCACCAAGUGGCAGAGAUGUAACCGAGCUACAUUAGUAGCAGCCCAAACAAGCAGUAACAAAAGUUUAAUGGCACAGGGAAACUAGUAAAAAUACCAAAGUUGAUGGUUUUCUUCCAACAAUCAGAAGCAUUCAAAAUUAGAAAUAUUGAAUAAAUAGAAAGAAUGACUUAGUGUCA
rnacentral:lncRNA from 1 species